rnacentral:rRNA from 1 species
GAUGAACGCUGGCGGCGUGCUUAACACAUGCAAGUCGAACGAUGAAGCUCAGCUUGCUGGGUGGUUUAGUGGCGAACGGGUGAGUAACACGUGAGUAACCUGCCCUUAACUCUGGGAUAAGCCUGGGAAACUAGGUCUAAUACCGGAUAGGAGCGCCUACCGCAUGGUGGGUGUUGGAAAGAUUUAUCGGUUUUGGAUGGACUCGCGGCCUAUCAGCUUGUUGGUGAGGUAAUGGCUCACCAAGGCGACGACGGGUAGCCGGCCUGAGAGGGUGACCGGCCACACUGGGACUGAGACACGGCCCAGACUCCUACGGGAGGCAGCAGUGGGGAAUAUUGCACAAUGGGCGAAAGCCUGAUGCAGCGACGCCGCGUGAGGGAUGACGGCCUUCGGGUUGUAAACCUCUUUCAGUAGGGAAGAAGCGAAAGUGACGUUACCUGCAGAAGAAGCACCGGCUAACUACGUG